rnacentral:rRNA from 1 species
GUAGGUGGCAAGCGUUGUCCGGAAUUAUUGGCGUAAAGCGCGCGCAGGUGGUUCUUUAAGUCUGAUGUGAAAGCCCCCGGGCUCAACCGGGGAGGGUCAUUGGAAACUGGGGAACUUGAGUGCAGGAGAGGAAAGUGGAAUUCCACGUGUAGCGGUGAAAUGCGUAGAUAUGUGGAGGAACACCAGUGGCGAAGGCGACUUUCUGGCCUGUAACUGACACUGAGGCGCGAAAGCGUGGGGAGCAAACAGGAUUAGAUACCCUGGUAGUCCACGCCGUAAACGAUGAGUGCUAAGUGUUGGGGGGUUUCCGCCCCUCAGUGCUGCAGCUAACGCAUUAAGCACUCCGCCUGGGGAGUACGGUCGCAAAGACUG